CGGACGCAUCAUGUUUGCCGGUUGGAUUCUAUUUGUUCAUGCUAGACUCAGCUACUACGGGCUGCAUUCAGUUUUCUCAAGUUACAAGCCAAGUCAAAAUUGGUAUGUACUCGUGUUCCAGGAAUUUAGGGUGAAAUGAAUGGGAAAAUGGGAAUUACUAAUGUGGUUUCUUUCACAAAAGAUGUCAGGAGAUUGACGUGCAACUGCAGUUAUGGUGUGGUGUGGUGCGGCACGGACGAUUGCCUGAUGAAGACUAUGGCUCUGGUAACAGUAUCCUCAUCAACAUAAACAACACUUAUAGUAUAUAUCACCGGGCCACCAGGGCCAAAA